rnacentral:rRNA from 1 species
UGGGGAAUAUUGCACAAUGGGGGAAACCCUGAUGCAGCGACGCCGCGUGAGCGAAGAAGUAGUUCGGUAUGUAAAGCUCGACCAGCAGGGAAGAAAAUGACGGUACCUGACUAAGAAGUGCCGGCUAACUACGCGCCAGCAGCCGCGGUAAUACGUAGGGGGCAAGCGUUAUCCGGAUUUACUGGGUGUAAAGGGAGCGCAGGCGGUCUUGCAAGUCUGAUGUGAAAGCCCGCGGCUCAACUGCGGGACUGCAUUGGAAACUGUGGGACUUGAGUGUCGGAGGGGCAAGUGGAAUUCCUAGUGUAGCGGUGAAAUGCGUAGAUAUUAGGAGGAACACCAGUGGCGAAGGCGGCUUGCUGGACGACAACUGACGCUGAGGCUCGAAAGCGUGGGGAGCAAACAGG